CAGGACUUCAUUAAUACAAAAGGGGAAGGCUAGAGAACAAAAGAAUAAGGAAGGAGGCAGCGACAGAGAGAGGGAAGGAACUGUAAUAAUUGACACGAAGUGAAUCGUCUGCAUCCCCUCCACUGCUUACUGGGUCUCUGCACUUGCACGUUCUCUGUGAGAAGGACAGCGCAUUGAAUCUGGUCAGCGUCUGCAAAUACACUUUCUUGAGUAACCAGUGCACUGGGGCUAAAGGUGGAAACUAGGACCAUUCCAGGCAAGCCUGGCUGCAUGAGCACUCUAGCCACCAAACGCAGUGUGUCAUGGCCUGCUAUCUUCUGAGCUAUCAACUCCUUUAAGACACGAAUCUCUGAAUAAUUCUUUGUUGAACUGAAUUGAA